rnacentral:misc_RNA from 1 species
UCUGUCUCAAAGUCCCAUCGGUGAAGGCGGCCCUUCGCCCGGCCUCCCAUGUCCAUUUUGGAUAAGUCAUCUUCAUCGUCACUGUCCACAAUUUCACGGUUAUACUCUUGAUAUCCUGGGUAACAUUCAGAAUAACUCUCCGAUAUGAAGUUGGGAUCCUUCUCUCGUGCAUCUCUCUCUCUCAGUUGCUGUAGUCUCUGAUCGUCUCUCUUGAACACCGAGCCUAAACCCCUAUCCUUCUCUUCUUGAGUCAUGAGUCGGGGAUCCUGUUGAAUGUUCGCUCCUGUUUGCAUAUCAUAUGCUUGCAUGUUGAGCUGAAG